GCCUAUAUAGCUCAGUCGGUAGAGCAUGAGACUCUUAAUCUCAGGGUGAUGGGUUUGAGCCCCACAUUGGGCA
rnacentral:tRNA from 1 species